UCCCGCUGCUUUCCGCCCUCCUCCUCCUCGUCCUCCUCCUCGUGCUGCCGCUCCCGGGCGAAGGCUGCGCAGCCCGGCCUUGAACUGCCAGUGAACUAAAAGAGGAAAAAGUGUCUUUAACCAGGUGAUUAAAUUUGAACAAGUUUUAAUGAAGAUCUGAGCAGGAGCAAGAGCUCACAUCCAGCUCCACACCCAGCACCUGGGAGCACAUCCAUAGCAGUUGUGUGGCUGCUCUCCUGCACCAAGGGGAAUGCAGACUGUCAAAGACCUGCUUUAAAUAAUUUCAAGUUUUAAAUACAUAUAUUGUCCUUG